rnacentral:rRNA from 1 species
GAUGAACGCUGGCGGCGUGCCUAAUACAUGCAAGUCGAGCGAACAGACGAGGAUCUUGCUCCUUUGACGUUAGCGGCGGACGGGUGAGUAACACGUGGCUAACCUACCUAUAAGACUGGGAUAACUUCGGGAAACCGGAUCUCAUACCGGAUAACAUGUUGAACCGCAUGGUUCAACAGUGAAAGACGGUCUUGCUGUCACUUAUAGAUGGAUCCGCGCCGCAUUAGCUAGUUGGUACGGUAACGGCUUACCAAGGCAACGAUGCGUAGCCGAACUGAGAGGGUGAUCAGCCACACUGGAACUGAGACACGGUCCAGACUCCUACGGGAGGCAGCAGUAGGGAAUCUUCCGCAAUGGGCGAAAGCCUGACGGAGCAACGCCGCGUGAGUGAAGAAGGUCUUCGGAUCGUAAAACUCUGUUAUUAGGGAAGAACAAAUGUGUAAGUAAAUAUGCACGUCUUGACGGUACCUAAUCAGAAAGCCACGGCUAACUACGUG